rnacentral:rRNA from 1 species
UACGUAGGCAGCAAGCGUUGUUCGGAAUUACUGGGCGUAAAGAGCGUGUAGGCGGCCAAACAGGUCCGUUGUGAAAACUGGAGGCUUAACCUCCAGACGUCGACGGAAACCGUGUGGCUAGAGUCCGGAAGAGGAGAGUGGAAUUCCUGGUGUAGCGGUGAAAUGCGCAGAUAUCAGGAAGAACACCAAUGGCGAAGGCAGCUCUCUGGGACGGUACUGACGCUGAGACGCGAAAGCGUGGGGAGCGAACAGG